UGUUCCCAUUUAGAUCAAGCUAUUGUCCUCUAAUAACACAAGCACACCCCAUGUGGCAGGGCAGGCUUCUAUUCACUCUAUUGCUGAGCUCUGAUUCGUUCAGACUGUGGGAACCUACUUCCAGACUAAGACCCACACAUCGGGAUGGAGAUGGGGGACUAUAAAUAAGAGUGCUGUGUUGUAUUUUACAACAAGCCAACAGAGAGCAGAAUGUCUCUAGAAGAACUCUACUUCAAAGACAUCCAACCAUGGGACCUAUAAUCACUGCAGCAACGACCAUCUCUUAGGAGCACCUUACUCUGAAUAACAAGUUCAGAAAGACUCUUGCAGAGAAGCAGCACAGAGAUUAAA